CGACGCUCACCUGGGAAGAAGGCGGAUCUAGGCCUAGCGGGGCCGUGUUCCCGUCCUCGCUUUUCCCUGGGCUCAAGAAUGCCUGGAGGAGAGGCCUGGGGGCCGCGGGUGAGAGCAAGGGUUGUAGCACCCUCGAGAGUGUGGGGCGGAUUCAGCCCACAGUAAGACAGAGAAAAAGAGAAAACAACAACAAAAAUGAAGCAACAGUAAACUGCCAACUCCAACUGCCUUUCUGGAAGGCCUAAUUUGAGGAUGUCUGAAAUUCUGUAUCACCGGCUCCCAGACAUAUCAUGUGUAUUUGUACAUCACACCUUUGCCCACCUCUACUCAGUGGACCUCCAGCCUACAAUGCCUCCCUUGUUCCUCUGUCUCACUUCAUUCAGCUGUUAUUGAAGUCUUCUGGUACAAUGUGACAUUUCCAGAGUCUUGUCUUCCAAUCAGA
rnacentral:lncRNA from 1 species